rfam:Strongyloides stercoralis strain PV0001 genome assembly, scaffold: SSTP_contig0000032
AGAGAUUCUUAAGUAGUUGUGCCGUAGGUCGUCGUUAAUAGUGAAUCGACCUACACACGGCUCCUUAAGACUUUUU